GCAUUUCCGGCAAACUUCUCCCUCUUUCUUUCCGUGGCACUAAGAAAUGGCACAGGUAGCCAUAUUGUGGGAAUUUCGAGAACUGACAUUGAUAGUCAGUAUUGAGGGAAAGAAUUGGCACAAGUAGCCAUAUUUUGGGAGUUUCAAGAACUGACACUAGUAGUCAUUAUUGAUGGAAAGAAUUGGCACAGGUAGCCAUAUUAUGGGCAUUUUGAGAACUGACACUGGUAGUCAGUAUUGUGGGAAGAGAAUUGGCACGGGUAGCCAUAUUGUGGGAAAUUUCGAGAAUUGGCACUGGUAGUCAUAUUGUGGAGGGUGUAUUCGAGAUCGGUUCUUACAGUGCAGUAAGAAUUCGAUAACAGAGAUCUGGGCUGACUCAGCCAGUAAGUAUUAUUUCAUGUCAUUUAGAAUUGCUGCAAGCAAUGGUAACAACACAAUCUCUUUAGGAACCACUAGUAUGCACAACCUCUGUAGUAAACACAACCUAAAAUCAUAGAUUGAAGGGUUUGAUCUACAAGCUCACCAAGUAUAUAAAAAAGUUCUGAUCCAAUAUAGUUGAUAACUCUAUUCCAGAUAAACAUUUAGUGUUUUUCUCUAUGGCCCAUUUCUUGAUUUCUAUAUCUUUUGUUCAGCUCUUUCUUUCCCUUUUUCUCAAC
rnacentral:lncRNA from 1 species